rnacentral:lncRNA from 10 species
AUCAGGUUCUCAAAUGUUUGACUCAGAAUAAGGUUAAACCUGAGACCCACAGUUCCAAUAUUGGCUGGUUUCUUCAGAGUCAAGUUGCACAAGUCAAGCCCUGCUGUAUUUUCAGUUACCUUUUCCCUGUGAUUCACAAGGCUCACACUGUACUAUUACGUGGAUUCUAAAAUCACCUCACACAAUUUUCCCAUCUUUGAGCCUCUGCAAAUGUUUGCCAAGCUAUUUGACGUGAACCUUUCAUCUAAUCCAGUUCAACUCAUGAACAACCAAAGUAGCUCCUGAAAGCCAGGCUGUGUGUCCUGGGAGUAGAGAAACAGAUCAUGGACUGGGAAGGAAGUCGGAUGAGCAAACCACCAGGUCAAUGUGGCAGGGAGAGUUAGAGGCUCAAGACGGGUGCCUACCCCAGAUUUGGGGUCAGGGAUGUUUCCUGGAAGAAAUCCUCAUGAUGCUGGGGUCUUAUUUGAGAGGUGAAGCAGGCAGGGCUUCUGGGUCAGGUGGGGAGUUGGAGAACUUUUCUGUCUAGCUAAAGGUUCGUAAAGGCACCAAUCAGCACUCUGUAAAAACGCACCAAUCAGCACUCUGUGUCUAGUUAAAGGUUUGUAAACGCACCAAUCAGUACUCUGUAAAAUCGCACCAAUCAGCGCUCUGUGUCCAGCUAAAGGUUUGUAAACACACCAAUCAGCACUCUGUAAAAAUGGACCAAUCAGCACUCUGUAAAAUGGACCAAUCAGCAGGACGUGGGCAGGCCACAUAAGGGAAUAAAAGCUGGCCACCCAAGCCAGCACUGGCAACCCGCUUGGGUCCCUUUCCAGGAUGUGGAAGCUUUGUUCUUUUGCUCUUCACAAUAACUCUUGCUGCUGCUCACUCUUUGGGUCCGUACUACCUCUAUGAGCUGUAACACUCACCAUGAGGGUCUGCAGCUUCAUUCCUGAAGUCAGCGAGACCAGAAAACCCACUGAGAGGACCAAACAACUCGGGAAGUGCCACCUUCAAGAGCUGUAACACUUGCUGCGAAGGUCUGCAGCUUCACUUUUGAAGUCAGUGAGACCAAGAACCCACCGGAAAGAAGAAACUCUGGACACGUCUGAACAUCUGAAGGAAAAAACUCUGGACACACCAUGUUUAAGAACUGUAACACUCACUGCGAGGGUCCGUGGCUUCAUUCUUGAAGUCAGUGAGACCAAGAACCCACCAGAAGGAGCCAAUUAUGGACACAUUAUGAAUGCAUGGGAAUUUGAAUCUCGGACCAGAAUUUCUCUCUGCUUGCUGAACAGAGAGAAAGAGGGCAGGUAGAAGAGGAGACACAUGCCAGUGUCUUUAGACAAAUCACAAUUGAGUUUGUCGGAACAUAAAGCAGGGUGGAGUGUCGAAAAGACUGGACUGCAGAGGGGAAAGAGGUCGUAUCACCAAGGACCUUGUUCAGUACUCUGUGCAACGGCCAAUUAGGGCAGCUCCGGCUUGCCUCCCAAGGCGAUGCUCCCCUCCUCCAGCAAUUACUACCUGAAGACGGCUUUAUUUCCCUGGCCUUGCAAACCACCCAAGGACUGCGUUUGACCGGUUGACCUUCUUUGACAGCAAAUUCCUCUAGCUGACCACAAGUCACAUGAAGAAGUUAUUUCCUUUUAUUUGUUCUAAAUUUCCUUUUUAAACUGUUGGCCUCCUUCAAGGGUAUAACUUUUAAAGGAGAAAUUAAUACAAUUGUUGUUUUGUUGUGAGCAGGAAUAGUUAGGGAAU